rnacentral:ncRNA from 1 species
CAAAGGCAUGGUCCCAGCCUUACUAUCAGCUCUAGCCCAACUUACACAUGCAAGUAUCCGCAGCCCAGUGAAUAUGCCCUCAAUCCCCCGCCCGGGGACGAGGAGCGGGCAUCAGGCACAAACAAAUUAGCCCAAGACGCCUGGCCAAGCCACACCCCCAAGGGAAUUCAGCAGUGAUAAAUAUUAAGCUAUAAGUGAAAACUUGACUCAGUCAGGACUAAGAGGGCCGGUAAAACUCGUGCCAGCCACCGCGGUUAAACGAGAGGCCCUAGUUGAUAUACAACGGCGUAAAGGGUGGUUAAGUAUUAAUUUAAAAUAAAGCCAAACGGCCCUUCGGCUGUUAUACGCUUCUAGAAGUCUGAGGCCCUACAUACGAAAGUAGCUUUAAUAGACAUACCCGACCCCACGAAAGCUAAGAAACAAACUGGGAUUAGAUACCCCACUAUGCUUAGCUAUAAACCUAGACACUCAAAUACAAUAAGUGUCCGCCAGGGUACUACGAGCACCAGCUUAAAACCCAAAGGACCUGACGGUGUCUCAGAUCCACCUAGAGGAGCCUGUUCUAGAACCGAUAUUCCCCGUUCAACCUCACCACUUCUAGCCAUCCCAGCCUAUAUACCGCCGUCGUCAGCUUACCCUGUGAAGGAGAUACUAGUAAGCAAAAUGAGCACAGCCCAGAACGUCAGGUCGAGGUGUAGCGCAUGUAGUGGGAAGAAAUGGGCUACAUUUUCUUUUACAGAAUAUUUACGAAUGUACACCAUGAAAUAGUGUUUAAAGGAGGAUUUAGAAGUAAAAGGGAAAUAGAGUGUCCCUUUGAACCCGGCUCUGAGACGCGUACACACCGCCCGUCACUCUCCCUAUUAUAAACUAUACCAAAUAUACUUAAUAAAACAACAUCAAUAUAAGGGAGGCAAGUCGUAACACGGUAAGUGUACCGGAAGGUGCACUUGGACCAAACC